GAAGCAACAUAAGCGCCAGAACUUAGGAUGGCAUCGGAGUCUUUUUCAUCCCGGCAGCCUGGCUGCAUAUCUGUUUUGUCGAAGGAGCGUAAGGAAAGACAAUGGCAGGUGGGAAGAAGAAGCGAAGAGCAUCUAAGUUGACGAGGUGAAGGUGUUCGAAACAUUCGGCGGGGACCUUCCGGCAUUUCAUUCAUGCCGUAAGCUUGGAAAGCAAACUGCCCGGGUGACCGGGUAAACAAGAUUCCAGCAUAAUGAUGC
rnacentral:ncRNA from 3 species